rnacentral:rRNA from 1 species
CUCAACCUGGGAAUGGCAUCCGGAACUGUUUAGCUAGAGUGCAGAAGAGGAAGGUAGAAUUCCCGGUGUAGCGGUGAAAUGCGUAGAGAUCGGGAGGAAUACCAGUGGCGAAGGCGGCCUUCUGGUCUGACACUGACGCUGAGGUGCGAAAGCGUGGGUAGCAAACAGGAUUAGAUACCCUGGUAGUCCACGCCGUAAACGAUGUCAACUAGCCGUUGGGGGUCUUAGAAUCCUUAGUGGCGCAGCUAACGCAUUAAGUUGACCGCCUGGGGAGUACGGUCGCAAGAUUAAAACUCAAAUGAAUUGACGGGGGCCCGCACAAGCGGUGGAGCAUGUGGUUUAAUUCGACGCAACGCGAAGAACCUUACCUACUCUUGACAUCCCCGGAAGCCCUGAGAGAUUGGGGUGUGCCUUCGGGAGCCG